AGUGAACGCUGGCGGUAGGCCUAACACAUGCAAGUCGAACGGCAGCACAGUAAGAGCUUGCUCUUACGGGUGGCGAGUGGCGGACGGGUGAGGAAUACAUCGGAAUCUACUUUUUCGUGGGGGAUAACGUAGGGAAACUUACGCUAAUACCGCAUACGUCCUACGGGUGAAAGCAGGGGAUCUUCGGACCUUGCGCGAUUGAAUGAGCCGAUGUCGGAUUAGCUAGUUGGCGGGGUAAAGGCCCACCAAGGCGACGAUCCGUAGCUGGUCUGAGAGGAUGAUCAGCCACACUGGAACUGAGACACGGUCCAGACUCCUACGGGAGGCAGCAGUGGGGAAUAUUGGACAAUGGGCGCAAGCCUGAUCCAGCCAUACCGCGUGGGUGAAGAAGGCCUUCGGGUUGUAAAGCGCUUUUGUUGGGAAAGAAAAGCAGCAGGUUAAUACCCCGCUGUUCUGACGGUACCCAAAGAAUAAGCACCGGCUAACUUCGUG
rnacentral:rRNA from 1 species